UCAGAGGAGCUUUAAUGUGAAGGGUUUUUACCAGUCUGCAUGAGCCAUGUGUCAUUAAUUUAGGGUAUAUUCCUCAUCAGAACCACUUUGGUUUUCUAAACUGUAUUUGGUCUCAAUUUUACAGAUAGAACACUUGUUUUAAUAUGAACUGCACCAUGGAUGUAAAAUUCAUGUACUAAAGAUUAAGAUUAUGUGCAUGGCUCUAGCUCCUUGGCAGCAUAGGUAUAUAUAUAUAAAAAAAAAACUUUUCAUGUUGAGAUUUUUCUUGUUUUUAUUUUCAUUUUCAUUUCUAUCUCAUGUUAGUUUAAAUUGAAAGACAUUCAGCCCUACUUUUAUUUAUUUUUUCUUUCACAUCCAAAAAGGUGCAGUCAGAUUAAAGGCCCAAACUUAUCUUACCAUCAGUCAGUCUUUUGUUCUGACAUUCCUGGUGACAAAAAGCCUCCCUUUGUUUGGAUAACCCCAAAAUUUGAUAGGUUCACUAAAUAUUCAUCCCAAAAGAAGGUGUCCAUGACCUUGUACCCAGAGGCAGAUAAAAUCCGCUCUUGUCAUAAGAAAUCAGGAGCUGUCCGAAAAGCGUGGCUCUGAAUAGCUCCAGCAGGACAAUUAUUGAAUGUCUGUGACAUGUCACAUUUGACAUUUUGGAGAGCGAGUGGUUGGCAUUUUCCUCUGCCCAGGCCUAACCCGGGCACUUCAUGUAUCAUGCCGAACUGCUGAGAGGAAAGGGAGACAGAGGGAAGUUUACAUAUCAGCUCAGACAGAUGAACAUCGCUUACUGGACUGCACAUGAGACCGGCUGCUCUGAUCCACCCAUCCUUAAACCGUCCAUUUAUUCAGUCAUGAAACACCGAAAGUCUGAAUUGCUUUUCACUGUGACACCUAUUGACAUGUUGUGAACUUGCCUUUUGCACUGAUAAUGCAAAUUCAUCUUUAAAUAAAUUUAAACUGUGACGUCAAAUAGUUGAGAUGCCAUGGCUGCUAUUUUCCUGGAUAUGUGCAGCUCGACUGAAAAAAGCGUACUUUCCAAAGGUCUUACUUUUCCUACACAUUUACACCUCUAUACCUGAAAAUCUGUAUUUUAAAUUGAAUUAGUCUUGAGGUAUAAGGUAUAAAAAAGACUUUAAACAGAGGCAAAUAUCAAAGUUGAUUAAGUCCCAGUUAAGCAAUUAAAAUCACACCUCAACUUUAAUUUGUUGUGAUCAUUGUUAAAAGAAUAUGUAGGUAAUUUCUUAGAGCUUAAAACACACAAGACAGUGAGUACUAUCAUGAGGAUAUCACAGUUGUUGGACAUCAAACAAAUAAAUAAAUAAAAAAGAAUAUAAACAGAUAACAUUGGCCUGGCAUCUGGCACCUAUCAGCCAGCAGUUUUCCCUUAGUGUCAGAUAUACCAGACCCAUCACAAUCCUGUAUCUAAGAUGAUGAAACCAAUGUGAAUUUCAAUUAAAAAAAAUCAUGACAAUCAUUGUUCAUAAGCGGACCUUUUUUCCACAAUGAAGAUGAGAUGAAGAUAAGCCAUAAAAAAAUCACUGAUCAAGUCUGACAAAAAUGUUUCAAUUAUGUUUCUUAAUUAAAGAAAGAUAAGAAGAAGUUGUUUUAGGUGGACCAUCAGACAUUUAACAAUCAAUAUAUUUUCCCCACUGUGGAUCUAGUCCGUCACCUAAAAUGCUAACAGUGAUUCCUGCUCGUGUUUUUUCGGUGAGUCAAGAUGUCUGCUUCUGCGAAUGUUUUUCACACCCUGUUGAAUCUGUGAUUUGUAAACAAUAAUGUUAAAUAGGAGGUGGCUAAAUGCUAAUGUUAGCUGUGUUUUUAUGUUGGCUAAAAGGCUGUCAAAUGUGUUUUUCAAAUUUAAAUAUGGCUGAUCUCUCUCCUGAUCGUCCCUGUCUUAGUUUGAGUGGCUGUUCUUCAGUCAAGGAGCUGUUAAAUGAGAGCAGUUUGACAGGAUCUUGAGGUUCCUCUGACGUAUGACCUGAAACACUGCUAUAACAAUGCAUGAGCUUCCCAUCCUUGAACAGAACCCCCUCAGCUCUGCGGAUCCUGGCGCCACAGGAGAACAUUUGACAAUUUAUGAGAUAACAGUAUAUGAGUUUCCCACCCUUAGUUUGACUUCACAAAACUAUGGCCACCAUAAGGUCAAUUGGCAUCAGGGUGUUGCAUUUUGAUGGUAAUUGCUUCAAGGUAAAUAAAGUAUGCUCAAGCAUAGAUUACCAAACUUCUCAGCCCAGGACCCCCAAAAUAAAGGUGCAAAAGACUACAACCCAGACUGUUACCUAAGUAACUUGAGGUUGUUUACAACUGUGGACAAGAGGUUGAGGCCCAAUUCAGAAACAAUCAAUAGAGUAAGACUAAAAAGACAAAGACCAAACAACCAUCAAGGUAUUUUGAACUCAUUUAGAAAAGUAAGAUGCUGAAUACAAGUGAUCGAAAUGUUUACUGCAGAAAGCGGACAUACUUUAUUUAGUCACUCGACACACAGGUGAGUUUAAACAGACAUCAGUCACAUGCUCGUUUAAAGCCUUAGAUUUUGUGUCAUUUUUAAGUGCUCCCCCUCAAUUCGAUUUUAUGAUCUCCCACCAAACGAAACGGGAAAGAGGAAGAAGAAAAUCAUAUUCACCCGCCCUUUGUCUCAACAAUUAAAUACACAGGUAGUUACAUUUAUUCCCAGCAAGUCAAAUUUUUUAACAGUCUCUGGCUGAUGUUCAAUGUAUACGUAGUUAUGACCUAAAGUAACGCAGUUGAAUUUUGCCUCUAACGUAAAUAUGAACCAUGUCCUAGAAUCUACAGUAUUAUUUAAUCAUUUAAGAUCCAUUUAAAACAUGUUUCUAGUAAAGGUAACCUCUUAUAUAUUAUGAUGUUAAUGUGCAUUGAAUUAUGAUCUUCUGCAUGACUUCACCUAUUCUUCAAAUUCACCUCAUAUUUCUUCUUUUAUGACAUCAGAUGUCUGAACAGCAACUUUUUUACUAUAUUGUCUCCUAAAAUCGAUCCAAUUAAAUAUUCACCCAACAACAACAUUUCUUUCCCAUCUGUUAGUAUUGUUAAAUUGUUGUAUUUAGUCAAAUGCAGAGAAAACCAACUAUGUAAUAUCAGCAUUAUAUAUCAGCCACAGAGGCUCCUGCUGUCUCAUCAUCUGCACCAAUAUCAGCCAUGGUAAAAGCGAUAUUGGUCAACCAUUAAUCACAUACUCACACUUAUUUAUUAGUGUAAAGUGUGUAUUCCAGCAUCUUAAAUAAAAUCAAAUCAAAUUUUAUAUAUAUAGCGCCAAAUCCCAACAGUCGUUAUCCUAAGACGCUUUCCAAAAAAGGGCAGGUCUAGACCAUGCUCAUUGUUUGAUGAAUUACCAAAACCCAACCUUAACAUGGGACAGAUUUGACCCAUCUCAUUCAACAUGAGUGACAGUGGCAAGGAAAACUUCCUUUUAACAGGCAGAAACCUUGGGAAGGACCAAACUCAUGUUAGACAGCCACCUCGCUGAGUUGGGGAAAAAGACAGAGAAAUAGGAGGAGAGGGAGAGGAGUAGAAGGCAGGGCAGGCGGGAGAGGGAGGGAAAGAGAAUAGAGAGCGGGGAUGAGAGAGAGACAAGAGAACCAAGAUAUGAGUUUUUUAUGGGUAAAAUAUACAAUCCAAGAAAAUCAAAUAACUCUUAUUUUUAAACAGCAUGUUGUGACUCCCCCUUUAGUUGGGUCCCCACCCCACUUUGGUAGCCAUUGUGCUAAAGGAUACAGCUGGAGUUCAGAGAUUUGCACAUCUGUGAUUUAGAGUAAUUAUUUGAAUGAGAGCAAAAAAGUGCUCCUAGUUUAUCAGUUUGUUGUCACAAUAUUAAUACAAACCUCAAGUCCACAGGAUUGUAAAAUGUGCGUAUUUAUAUAUUUUUUGUGUAUCGGAGGUGAAAAAACUGUGGCAAGUCUCUACCUUUAAAAUCCUGCAGAGGGCAGCAUUGACUCACAGUUCCCAUCAUGCAACGUUUCACUGAGGCCUCAGUUGAGCAUCAAGAUGACAACGAUCAGGUUCAGCAGUGGAUAUUUUAUUCUGAACUCCUGAGGGAUAAAGGCUGUGGGAUGUAACCUUCAGAGGGUAUUUCUGUGCGUGUUUACACGACUUUGAGCUGGAAAAAAGUGGAAAAGAUAGAGGUGGUUUAUCUAUGUAACAGAAAAAAAGUAUUCAUAUUUAAAAUGUUCAGGUUAACCAGAAUGACAGCAUCACUACUGAAACCCAGCUUAAUCUUUGUUCUUGCAAUUUUUUUGAUAUAAAAAGAAUAAAAUUAAGCUGUGAUUUUAAAGGUAGAGGAGGAGAAAGGUUUUAAAUGAGGACAGGAGAUACAGAAAAGAGAGCAGGAUUGCUAAGAAUAAAACAUUAUAACACCCCCUUCUCUCUGUUACGCACUGAAAGAAGAAAUUACUCGAUGGAAGUUAAUGAAGUCUCACAAGUUGAUGAGGGGAAAAUUGCGGCGAAGAGGGGUCAGCGCUUUCUCUUUAGCCUUUCCCUCUUCUGUGGAAAAUGGCUGCGGUCAAGAUCCAUACUUUUAGAGGACGCUGAGCACUCCAACGCUGAGAUGGAGUGAGAGAGAUGGGGGGGCACCAAGAUUAAUGGUAUUAAGUGGUAGCACUUGGCAAUGCGGUAACAUAUCGUCUGUGUUCUCUAUCCCACACUGAUAGUUUCAUAGACCUUGGCUUUACACAUUGACUUUUAGCUGUGAUUUACAGGAUUCAAAUAAUCCAUCUGGCUUUUCAUCAUCGUAAGACCUGCGCACAUCUUAAGUACGGAGUCACAUCAGUGCCAGUUUUAUCAGGAAAUAUAAUCAAAACCUUAAAAUGUGCCGAUGUUUCCUCCUGCAAUCGGUGUUUAUCAUGCAAAGCCAAAAAAAUGAACUUUCUUUUAGAAACCUGCAACAAUUUCACCUCGGUUUAAUGUCAGGAAAAUGAAAAAGAUAAGUUUAUAUUUAUGUACAUGUUGACAUUUUGGAUGCUAAUCUGUGAACCCUCUUUCUAGAUCAUUGGAUGGAGAAGUGCAGUAUUUUAUCUGACAGGCACACACACACACACAGGAUCUAAUGGCAAAUCUCUGUGCCUCUCUCUGCUGAUUUGAGUUUAUUUUGUAUAAUGUUUGACAUUUUGAUUUCAGGCCUGACAUACUUUGAUUUUCUGGCCAAUGAUUCAAAUGAUUUCUUUAUUUAGGAAUAACCCUUUACUUGCAUCCUUGGAAACAUGCAACGAUGACAUGAAAUACAAUCACAGAAGCUUAUGUUUUUGUCAUCCAUUGUUAGUUAAGUGAAGCUAUUUAAUUUAGCUUUGAUCUUAGGUGUUUUCAUCAAAUUCUGGUUGAUUUUAAUCAUGUUUAAGUCUUUGUGUCUCAUGUUGUUUUAGUCGAGGUUUAGUCAGAGACACUCAGUUUUAAUUUUGGUCUCACACUUUACCUUGUUAAAGGAUGCUGAGAUAGCACAAAUCAACAGAGACCUGAUUCCAUAAGGAGCUCUGAGUUUAGUUACCAUUGUGUAUUGUUAUUCUAGUGGGGGACACUACAAAAGAUGUGCAUGAGUUUCUUUUCUACAUUUCACAUGAUCAGGCUGCAGGUUGUAAUGUUGUAAUGUUUCACAAUGCCAGCUGCCAGCAGUAGCUUUGUUAAGCUUUUGAUUAGACAACUAAUAGCUAGCUUUGGUGUCCUAACCCUGGACUGUCUAAUAAAUGAGUGUAGUGUUGGAGACUGAAGUUAUUUCUGACACAGAGUUUUGAGGCAUGUUGGCGGUCAUAGUCAUAUUGGUGAUGCUUACUCCACCUAACUUUACCUACCAGAGGUGGGCCUUUAGCUUCCUUGCAAAUGGAUUCAGUCUGCUCGUCUACCAGUCAAGUUAGCAGUAGGGAAGGGUGAUAGAUUAUAGUUCAUAAUAUAUCAUCAGAAAAAUCCUCAAUGAUAAAUAUUUGUCAUCUCAUGAUAAAUAUGGUAAAUGCAAGUUGAUGACGUAAGCGCGAGCAACGGACUUGCAGCCAUAGCCCACACAGAGCAGAAUAACAAAUAUGGCCAAAAGUUAUGAAAUGAAGAAGGUGUUUCUGAGCAGCUUGUUACUGAACAAAGCUCCACAUGAGGGAUUUCCUUUAAGAUUGGGACUUAGAUGAGUGCAAUCAUGUAUGCCUGACAUCAGACAGUGGAUCUGUUCACUCUGGGCAAUAAGAGUUUUCAACAAGUGUUAAAAAUGUUUUCACAUUUGAGACUUGUUUGAUGUCAUUAGUUUUCUCCAUAACCUACCACUCAAACUUGUGGUUGAGUAUCUUAUUUGACUCUUCCAACUGGUGUUCUCAAGACAAAAUGAGUCAAAAUAUUUGGAUUGGAAUGAUAAUAUUUUUAUUGAGACUUUAAUUGUUAUUGCCAGAAUGGCAAAUCUUAUCAUGAUUAUUUUUUUUUUAGCCCAAAUCACCCAUCCCUAGUUAGCGGUGUCUCUGAUUUGCUGAUAUUGUAAGUAUAGUGAGUAAUGUGAGAGCCCUGAGGUACUUGUUUUUUUUUGAACCAGGCUGUAAACAUAUUCAUUUUUGCUCUUAAACU